rnacentral:rRNA from 1 species
UACGUAGGUGGCAAGCGUUGUCCGGAAUUAUUGGGCGUAAAGCGCGCGCAGGCGGUCCUUUAAGUCUGAUGUGAAAGCCCCCGGCUCAACUGGGGAGGGUCACGCGAUACUGCUCGACUCGAAGGCAGGAGAGGGAAGUGGAAUUCCCGGUGUAGUGGUGAAAUGCGUAGAUAUCGGGAGGAACACCAGUGGCGAAGGCGGCUACCUGGCCCAUUCUUGACGCUGAGGCGCGAAAGCUAGGGGAGCAAACGGG